rnacentral:rRNA from 1 species
AGCUAUAUAUUAAAGAGAUUUAUUUAUAUAAAUAGGUUUGCUAGCUGAUUGUGUAUAUACGCAGGCCAAUGCUUCUAAUUUCAUAGCAAGCUCGCUUGCUAUGAAAUAGGCAACCAGUAAUAUAAGCAAGUGUGUGCUAUUUAUAGCGCUAGCCUACAAACCUAUAAUUAUAUUAACUCUAAGAGAAAUUUAAUAAUAAACGAAGUGAAUUGAAAUAUCUUAGUAACUUUAGGAAAAGAAAUCAAAAGAGAUUCUAUGAUUAGCGUGAGCUAAAAUAGACUAGCCUAAAAAGUCAAAUGGUGGAUAAACUGUUUAAAUUAAAUGGGGAACCUUCCUCAAAGGCUAAAUAUAAUAUAUAAGCGAUAGUGGAAAGUACCGUGAGGGAACCAAAACAAAAACAGUGAUUUUAUAAGCAGUUCGGAAAAAUAAAAAAAAAGUUAGAACGUACCUUUUGCAUAAUGGGUCACCAAGUUAACAUUAGAUGCGAGUAGGAGGGAGCAGCCCCGUGCAUACGUAGUUAAACCGAGCGUUAAAAUAACGGUAAGUAUCUAAAGUUAGACCCGAAGCCUGGUGAUUUUACCAUAAUCAGGAUUAUAAAAGUCCGAACGGAAUAUUGUAGCAUAAAUAUCCGAAGAAUUAUGGUAGGUGUAGUGAAAGACAAUACUGACCAGGAUAGCUGGUUUUCUGCGAAACCUAUAACAGUAGGCAAUUUAAGUAUAAUAUCUUAGCAGGUACAGAAUUUAAUCUCAGACAAGACAUAAGGCUUAGCUUGUUAGCAAGUAAAGCUCAUGUUUUAUUUUGUACAAAUUGGGGGAUCAUGAAGAUUUUAUCAGUGAGUAUGUAGACUCGGAAUGGCAAAGAUAUAUCUUAAAUCAUCAGACAUAGAAUGAUAAGGUUGUAUGUCAAAAGGGAAACAGCCCAGAACAAGAGUUAAGGUUCCUAAAUUAUUAGUUGAGUGAAAUUAAGAAGGUUUUUAUUAAAGUCGACAAGGAGAUAGGCUUAGAAGCAGCCAUAAUUUUAUGACCUCGUAACAGAGCGCUUGUUAAGUUUUAAAAGCAUCGAAAAUUUAUCGGAUCUAAACAAUAUACCGAAACCUUGUCCAUAUUAUUUUAUAAUUAAAGCUUAAUUAUAAUUAAAUGGGGUAGCAGAACGUUGAGCUAAAUUAAGAUUUUUAUUUUUUAAAUGAAAUUAUAAUAAUUUAACUCAAGUGAUAAUGGUGACAUGAGUAACUAAAAGAAAAAAUAAAAUUUUUCCGCCUAAAGCUUAUGGAUGUAAUUAAGUAACGGCCUCUAAGUUUAUAUUAUCUAAAGAUUUAAACGAUGAGAUAAUCUUUUGUACUAAGGACGACAUUUUAAGUGAAAAAUGUACUGGAAAAAUAGUACUAAAUUAAUGGCUAUAGCUAAUUAGGGCUAUAAAAAAAAAUUUAUUUUUUUUUUAUAAAGCUCGCUAUAGCUAUAAAUGAAAAGUAACCGUACCUAGAAUCUGAAACAAGUAAGCUAGUAGAGAAUACGAAGGCGUAAAUGAGCUAACAAUCAUAAAGGAACUCGGCAAAUUGACUACCGUAACUUCGGGAUAAGGAGAGCUCAUUAUUCUUGAUUAAUAUCAGGUAAAGAGGAAGAAGCAUGAAAUAGUGUUGUACGACUGUUUAAUUAAAACACAGCACUUUGCUGAAAGAUUAAAAAUCUAAGUAUAGAGUGUGAUGUCUGCCCGGUGCCGGCUGGUUAACAGAUAUAAUUAAAUAUACUAAUAUUUGAUGUAGACGGAAACCCCGGUUAAAGGCGGCCUUAACGUGAGGGUCCUAAGGUAGCGAAAUGCCUUGGCCGUUAAAUGCGGUCUUGCAUGAAUGAUGUAACGAUACAACAGCUGUCUCUAUGAUUGACUCAGUGAAAUUGGAAUAGCUGUGCAGAUACAGUUUACCUCUAGUUAGACGAGAAGACCCUAUGCAGCUUUACUGUCACUAAUUAUAGAGUAUGAUAAACAAUUUUCAGAUUAUAAGGUAAUUGACGGCUAGCUUGUUCAGCAAGCUAGCUCUAUGACAAUGAGAAUCCUUUAUUUUUUUUUCAUAUGAAUGAAUUGGUUUAGGAUUAUGAGUAGGUAGCUGCUUCUGCUACUUGGCGCAAGCAUUGCUUGCGUCAAGUGUCUGAAGUAUGCAUUCCAGCUCAUGCAUAGUAAAUCAACCUAAUUCAGCUUAUUUUCCUUUCUGCCAUAAGCGCAUAAUGAUAGAUUUAACUUAAAUUUUGAUUUAUGCCGAGCCCCUCCGGGGCUACUGCAGAAAUAGAUAAGUACCCUUGGCUAAGGAACUAUCGCUAGGGGACAGUUUAUGUGGGGCACAGACCCUGUAAAGAGUAAACAGGAGUGUCUAAUAAUUUAUAAUUAUUUUGUUUGCGAUUUAAGAUAGUGAAACUAUUUUUAAUCAUAUAAAAUUAUUUAUAUGUACAUUCGUUGUAUAUAUAUUUAAAAAAAGGUAGGAUUUUCACUAUAUAGAAAUUAGAGAUAAUAAAAAUAUUAAGAAUAUACCUUUCAGGUAACACUAAUAUUUUUUAGCUAUUAAGACAGGCUAUCAAGCUAGGCUCUAAUAGUUAUGUAUUAAUUAUCUAAAAAGCUCAACGGCUAAAUCUUGCCUUACUGUUUGAUUAUCAACAAAUCUUACAGUUGCGUAAGCAGGGCAUAGGAUCACAAGAUGCAACAAGGAAAGAUCUUGGAUUAUUGGAAAAGCUACGCUAGGGAUAACAGGCUAAUUUGCGCAAGAGUGUACAAAAUGAGUGCGCGGUUUGGCACCUCGAUGUCGGCUUAACUUAUCCUCAUGGAUGCAGGAACUAUGUAGGGUGCGACUGUUCGUCGAUUAAAAAGUUACAUGAGCUGGGUUAAAUACGUCGUGAGACAGUAUGGUUUCUAUCUUCUAGGGGGAAUUAGAAUAUAAUAAGAACUAACUUUUGUACGAAAGGAACAAGAAGAAUUUAAUUUGUAAAAGGGUUAAAUAAUAGUUACUAACCUAUGGUUUACCUGUUGUCUAUGUGCCCAAAUAUUAAAAUAUAUAUAUGGAGGAAGCUCCUUAAGAGCUUCCCCCGCAAAUUAUAUAUAUCUGUAUAGCUAGCCUGCGGACUCCGGUUAUGCCUGAGUUUGGCAAGCUAAAGCUAUACAUAGGGAUGUUUCUUUCACUAAGAUAAAUAUAUAGCAUAGGCACGGCAGGAAAGCUAAGUUGGUUAAGGAUAAGUGCUGAAAGCAUAUAGGCACGAAGCUUAUCUUAAGAUAUUUCUUAAAUAUACGUAAAAUAUUAUUACGAAGGAUGUAAUAUAGGCUUUAUCCGUACGAAUCAGGAGAUUUUUAAGAAUAAAGUACUAAUUUUAUAAAUAACUAUUUAU